ACAUUGUCCUUGCUCGAUGUAGAAACAGGUGAACAGUUUUGGAACACUGAGCCAUUGACUGCACCAGGUGGCUGUGUUGAGAGUGGGUCGCUUUUGACAAUAAGGCACCGUGCUACAGCCAUAUAGUUUUGAACCUAGAAGAAGGCCAGGAGACGGGAGUAUGCAAAAAGAUUGACCUGGAUGGGCAAGGGGAAUGUCCAGUUGGGUAGAAAAACAUAGUUUGUCAUUUGAUUUCUUGGAGCCUGGGGGAGAUACCAUACUACAAGUCAGGAUAUUUCUCUGCAUCCAGGUGGAGGCUUGCUACCAGCAAGAACAUGGAGCACUCUGUGUCCGUGCUAGAGACAGAAUGGUCCUGGGACCUACAGAGCCUUCUGACCAACUACAUGCAAUCUCUCCAGAGCACAGACAAGUGAGUCUGCUGGGCCAUGGAACACAUAAAAAAACAGCCACCCUGUUGUCAGCUAUAUGCUGACAGUCCCCCGAGGAAGGAGACAACUAUCAAGGCUUUCAAAGGCCACAUUUUUUGGAUGACUAAAUGCAAUAACAUUUUUAGAAACUCAUUUAAAUUGUAUUGUUAGAUUACAAAACAAUAACUUUCAAAGAAUGUUUGUCAUGUAGGUCUUCACACUAACUUUGACUAACUUCUGUGGUAACUUAAACACAAAGACAACACUUGGGAGCUUGCGAUUCAAAAGGUCUAAAUUAAAUGCAUGUCCAGGGUGAAUGAAUGUUUAUUAAUAUAUAUCAGAAACAUCACACAGGUGUGUCAAAUAAAAUAUAUAUCCCAGACAAGAUUGAAGAAUUGGACAAGUAGAAAAAGUGAAAAUAAGUCUAUGAUUCUGUCCAGACCAGUUGUAUGAAUUUGAGUGCUUAUAUACAGUACCAGUCAACAUUUUGGGCAAACUUACUCAUUCAAGGGUUUUUCUUUAUUUUUAAUAUUUA